GAAUAAUUGGUAUCUAGAAAAAAAACAAAGACCCGGAAAAAAAAAGUUAUCCUAGAUAAACGAACUGGAUUCAUGUUCAAUUUCUCUCCGAUCCAAGUUGGAAACUAAUUCUCCUUUAGUGUGAAGAACUUGAUCAGAUUAAAAUCGGGUCAAUCGAUAUGUAAGUGAUUUUGACUCUUUACUGAUUAUUUACUUAUCAAAUUCUUUGGCUCCUCUCCAAUGGAGGAAUCCAAAGACGAUUUCGUAUCUGUAGACGCGAAUAAUCUAGUUCGGCCCCGAACCGUGAAGUAGAAUACUGUCCCCUACACUAUUCCAGAGUGGAGUGGCCCUCCGUGUCACCAAUUUCAGCUUGAAGUUCUCAAAGAAGGCGCCAUUGUUGAGAAAUUAGACGUGUAAGUAAACUCAAACUCUUAUGAAUCUAUUACCCUCUAAAGCUUUAAGGCUUCUGAUUGAAUUAGGAAGGAAAUGGUAUGUAAUUCGUAUUUGUUCACUUUGCAGCUAUAAGAGAGGAGCUUACUUGUGCUUGCUGCUUGUGUCAAAUUGGUGUAUCUAAUUUGACUUUUUAAUGUUAUGGUUCUGAUACUAGAUAAUAUUGUUAUCAUGUAUCUCUCUAGGAAGUAAAAGAGGCCAAAGAUGGAUUUAUUAUGAUUCAUUUGAUUAAAUCUCAAUAUAUGUGAACUAAGUUUUGAUCAUAUUUUUGGUGAGGAUUAUGGAAUGUUCAAUGUACUGCUUGCCUUUGAGACUUGAGAAGCAUGGGAGCAAAAAAAAAACGAAAA
rnacentral:lncRNA from 1 species